rnacentral:rRNA from 1 species
AGUGAACGCUGGCGGUAGGCCUAACACAUGCAAGUCGAACGGCAGCACAGUAAGAGCUUGCUCUUACGGGUGGCGAGUGGCGGACGGGUGAGGAAUACAUCGGAAUCUACUUUUUCGUGGGGGAUAACGUAAGGAAACUUACGCUAAUACCGCAUACGACCUACGGGUGAAAGCAGGGGAUCUUCGGACCUUGCGCGAUUGAAUGAGCCGGUGUCGGAUUAGCUAGUUGGCGGGGUAAAGGCCCACCAAGGCGACGAUCCGUAGCUGGUCUGAGAGGAUGAUCAGCCACACUGGAACUGAGACACGGUCCAGACUCCUACGGGAGGCAGCAGUGGGGAAUAUUGGACAAUGGGCGCAAGCCUGAUCCAGCCAUACCGCGUGGGUGAAGAAGGCCUUCGGGUUGUAAAGCCCUUUUGUUGGGAAAGAAAAGCAGCAGGUUAAUACCCCGCUGUUCUGACGGUACCCAAAGAAUAAGCACCGGCUAACUUCGUG